rnacentral:tRNA from 1 species
GCUUUCAUAGCUCAGUCGGUAGCAGCACAAGACUUUUAAUCUUGGGGUCGUGGGUUCGAGCCCCACUGGAAGCU